UUCAGUUCGUGUCAUGUUCAAUAGUGACUCAUGGUGCACAAACUUUUUCCUCAAACUAGUAUUUAACCAACUCCAGCACUGGAUAUUAACCCCUGGAAGAAUACAAAUCUAAGUUGAUCACUGCAGAAUUUGAACCAGAACCAUCUCAACUGAAAAUUCUUACAUGCUGUACCGAAGAAUGCAGCUACUUCUCAAGUUUGGAGCAAAGUUCAAGGUCGUCCAUGAAAAUUUGAUGUACAACAACGCCACCAACAGCGACUCAGAUGGAUAUUGACUCUUGAAGUGUUUACACUUUCAUCCCCGUAUUUCAUGACAUCUGCUGAACGACCUCGAGAACGACAUUUCCGAUUCAUCGGGUUCGUUAGAAAACAAACCACCACAAAAUAUUAAGUGGCAAGCACCUCUGCUCUCUAAGGUUCUUUGUCCCCAUCACACCCUCGCAACAUUCAAAUUUCUAAUUAGAUUGUUGCCCACCAUUAAGGAAUAGACACAGAAGAAACCCGACUACCAUUAAAACAAGUGUUUCCUUACAGUUAAGAGAAAGAUUAAAAAAAAAAAAAAGAAUGAAAAAAAGAAUGAAAGAAAGAAAAAUCGGAAGAACAAACAACUCGGUUCAUAGACGUUCUGAUUACGUCUGGAGAUUAAAUAUUAAAUUAAUGAUGUACUUGAUGGAAAGUAAAAAUACACACACAACGUACGCGCACUGUGGUUAAAUGGUUCCGGAGUUCGUUGGCAAAUUGUCUUGAUACUUUUCAGCCACGUGGCAGUGGUCAUGACAGAGCAGAAACGUGAAAAACAAAGGUUAUUUAAGGUUUAAAAAAAAAGCCGAAAGGGUACCGUUAUCGGGCUGCGUGCUUAGAAUAUCAGUUGGUUUCGACUAUACACUCUAAUGAUCGUCUAUGUCGGUGGUUCCCAAAGUGGGUGUUACUGCCCCCUCCCCUGGGAGGAGUGAAAUGAUUCCGGGGGGAGGGGGGCGUUGAACAAAAGUGAGGCGAUAAUGGCGUGGCUACACGGGGGUGAUGGAUGUGUUAAUAAUGGGUUUAUUAGGUUAAAGUUUUAUUUGUGAAAUAAGGUUGUUUUGAAUUUGUUUCAGAAAAUGGUCUCCGUUUAUGAGGAUGAGGGGUGGUGGUGGUGGUGGUCGUCGUCGGCGCUGAGAAUAUCACUUGGGUGCCAAGGGGGCAGCAACCCCCAAAACUUCAGGAAUUACUGGACUAUGUCAUAAGUUGGCUAUGCUGACUUCAAGUCCUCUUUGAGGAACAUUCAGUUUAGUGUUACCCUUAACGGAUAACCCUGAAAACUUUUUACCAAGCAGGUCACUAAGCAGAAAUGAUUUUCUAUCACAUAUCCAUGCACACACAUUUAUGAGGGAUAAUGAUACCUUGUUUUGUUUUAUUUUUUUUUAAGGCGGCGAGUUGGUAUACUCAUUAGCACGCCGGGUAAAAUGUCUGUCUUUACGUUCUCAAUUCAAAUUCCGCCGAGGUCGACUUUGCUUUCAUCCUUUCGUGGUCGAUAAAAUACGUCCCAGUUGAACUCUGGGGUCCAUGGUAUCGACUUAUUCCUCCUCUAAAAUUGCUGACCUUGUGCCAAAAUUUGAAACCUCGCUCUCUCUCUCACAUACAUACAUACAUAAUUCUGAGUAGACGCAAUGUUAGCAGUUGCAAUUAGAGUGUUAAUGUUCCCGGCAUUAGCUAACGAGAAACGGAUGUCCUAUCAAACGCUCGCGCACACAUUAGUGGAGAUUGUUUUUAUUCUGACUAGAUGCAAUGUUAAUAGUUGCAGAUAAGUUAGUGUUACACACCUAAUGUUUUUAAAUGUUCCCAGCAUUAGCUAAUUAGUUAUAAUUAAACAG